rnacentral:rRNA from 1 species
AUACGUAGGGUGCAAACGUUGUCCGGAAUUACUGGGUGUAAAGGGUGCACAGGCGGCUUUUUGCGUCAGAGGUAAAAUGCCACUGCUCAACAGUGGAUCUGCCUUUGAUACGGGGAGGCUUGAAUGCAAGAGAGGAUGAUAGAAUUCCUGGUGUAGCGGUGAAAUGCGUAGAUAUCAGGAGGAAUACCAGUGGCGAAGGCGGUCAUCUGGCUUGUCAUUGACGCUUAAGCACGAAAGCGUGGGUAGC